UAUCUUAGCUUAAAAGCAUGUUUAUAUAGCGUUGUAACUUAUUCGCACGCUUAUUACUGAACGGUUAAGCACCGAUUUCUUAUUUCUUACGGUUCCGAAAUGGACUCAUAAUAUUCCGGAUUGAAUGCUUUUAAGAUAGUUUCCACAUACUUGCCAUCCAAAAGGAAUCAUGCUGGUGCUGCCUCUUGUCAUGUUUGGUAUUUGGAUUAUUUCCGUCGGAGGUGAAGCGUUGGAGGUUGAUAAGAAGGGAUAUGUACUUUACUGUCCAUGCAUGGGAAGAUUUGGUAACCAGGCAGACCAUUUCCUAGGCAGCUUGGCAUUUGCUAAAGCAGUUGACAGAACCCUGGUGUUGCCUCCUUGGGUGGAGUAUCACUUUCCUGCUCCGAAAUCUGUACAGGUGCCCUUUGAUACUUACUUCAAGGUUGAACCUCUGAGAGCGUAUCACAGAGUAUUAACGAUGGAAGAGUUCAUGGAAAAACUGGCCCCAACUAUCUGGCCUGAGGGAAAUAGAGCAGUGUUCUGCUUCCAAGCAAGGACGUAUGGCGAGAAACAAAACGAUUGCAAUGCAAAGGAAGGGAAUCCAUUUGGUCCAUUCUGGGACACAUUUAAUAUUGAUUUUGAUCUGUCAGAGUUUUACUCACCACUUUAUCAUGAUUCAAGCAACCUGCAUGACAUGGAACGGUGGAAGAAAAAGUACUCUCCUGAAGCCUGGCCUGUGAUAGCAUUCACAGGAGCCCCUGCACAGUUUCCUGUACAACAGCAGAAUGCUGGACUACAGCAGUACCUCGAGUUUUCAGACAACAUUGCUUCCAAGAGGGAUGAGUAUAUCGCUGAACAUUUUGGGGAUGAAAAGUUCCUUGGAAUUCACUUGAGGCUCGGGUCUGAUUUUGAGAAUGCCUGUAAGCACAUAAAGGACAGUCCACUCAUGUUUGGUGCUGCACAAUGUCUGGGUUACAGAAUGGAACACGGAAAACCUUCCUCAGAAAUGUGCUACCCCUCGGAGAAAACCAUAGCCAGGGAUGUAGCAAAGGCUUUGAAGAAAUCAGGAAUACAGUUUGUUUAUGUUGCAACAGACAGCAAAGACUUAAUUAAGAACCUCUCAAAGAAAUUUAAAAAGGUGAAGUUUUUUAAAAGUAGUGCUUCAAAUCCACAUUUGGACCUCGCCAUGUUGUGUGCUGCUGACAAGUUUAUCGGGAACUGCAUCUCAACAUUUACAGCAUUUGUCACGAGGGCCAGAGGGGUUCAUAACAAACCCUCCAACUUUUGGGACUUCCCUCCAAUGAAGCAUGACGAAUUGUGAUAUUACAAUGAGCAAUUUUACCUUUUAAAUGCAUUCCUAUUCACAUGGUUAAUACUAUGCAAAAAUGUUUGCCAUAAGUCAUUUGUUAGCUUAGUUUUUUAAAGCUGCCUCUCACAGAUUGACUGUUUUGGCAACUUUUUUGUUUUGGAAUGAGCCAAUUUUUACGUGAAUUUCUUUUUUAAGGGCGGCUGUUGGGAUCUGCAUCAUACAUUCAAGUCUUAGUGCUAUAAGACUGUUAAAAAACUAUCAGAUGAGUUUUUUAGGCAUAAAAAAUCAAUUUGGAAUGUUAAUAACAACCUGCGAUCUAAUGCUUUUUUCAGCAGUCAUAUCUCUUGCUUCCAGACAUCAAUGCUAACAUAAAUUUACUGAUUCUAAGAUAAAAAAAAAAAAAAAUUUGUCAAAACGGUAAUCUGUAAGAGUUCAGCUUCAAAGGAAAAAAAUCGAGGUAUUGUGAUUGCCUUGGUGUUGUCAUGGACGUCGUCCACAAACUUUAACCUUAGUCAUAACUCAAAAACUGUUGGAAGAUACUCAAAUGAAACUUAGUAUAAGUGUUGUCAGUGACAAAUGUACAUGUAUUGGAAGGCCCAUAACUCUUACUUAAAUUAAUCAGGAAUUAUGCCCCCUUUUUUAUCCAAAAUCUGCAAAAAGAACUUAAUUUGAAAUCACUAAAAGAAAUAGCUCAAGAUAUCCAAAGUAAACUUGGUACUCAUGUUGCCAGUACCAUUUACAUGGGUGAAAGUUUUCCGGCAUAUGCCGGAUUUUCCGGUUUUUCCUGAUCCAGAGGGGUCGUUUUUCCAAAUCGUGUAAAUCCGUUGAGAUUUUCAGAGGGGGGUUAGGGGGUAUGACCCAACUCCUCUUCCGAAUUUCGAUCAUAUUUUGCAGAGGUCAACAAUAAGUCCGAUUUCACAACCUCCAUUUUUGCAAUCCAGCAGAUGCCCGCUUGAACAAGUGCGCGUUUUUAUUUCAUUUACGGAGAUAGCCGAUCUUUUUGUUCGAUUACGGCCAAACAGACUCCGUGUGCGAUCCUCUUUCAUCGGGAAUCGCCGAAUCGUAAUUCCGACAAACGAGGUCGAGGAAAACCCUAUACGUCAUUCGUGUGAAAGGAUACUUUUGAUUGGCUUACUCGAUUUUGCCCUCCAAUGAAAUAGCGUGUCUUUUAUCACUUAAGGACUGCACAUAAAGAUGGCCGACAUUGUUAUUAUUAGCAACUGUCAUUCGAUGCAGACGAUUGUUCAUCAAACAAAAUAGUUCUGAAAAUUAAGUUUUUGCUAGCGGGUUAUAAUACGAAGGACUUAGAAAAGGCAGUAAAAAAGUGGAGGUAGGAAUGUUUGUCUGAGGUUGACAAAAACGGUGAUAGAUGGGGAAAUCACUCUGCGAGGAAAUGAUGUGUAAAAACCAAUUAUUUGGGAAUCUUCCCUGCAGCUUCUCAAAACUGAAAAAGCAAAAAGGGUUGCAAAAUUACACGGACUGGCCAAACAGACGGUGCUUAAAGGGAAAUGAAAAAAUGAAAAUGGUAGCAACAGUCAGAAUAAAUGGAAAAAAAUCAAACUUGGUUGAUUAAUGGUUGUUAAAAGAGUGUUAACAAAAGCAUCAGUUUGAAAUAUUAUAAGUUUUUUUUGGUCCAAAUCUUAAUUAUAAUAAAUAAAUGAAGAAAUUCUACCUUAUACAUUUUUGUGACUGUUGAUACAUUUCCUACCAAACGAAUCAGUUUAGGCAUAAAAUUCAUUAAUGGUAUCAUUUUCUUAUAUUAAUUUUUUUUCUUUUUAAUAGUGUAGAAAAUAUUAUUUAGCCAUACAUUAAAGUAAUUUAAGUCAGGCUUCAAUUUCAUUUCAUAGUCAAUUUAUACUCUGGAAUGGCAUUUUAUUCCCUUAAAAUUCUUAAAUCUCGGGAGCUUCCGGGGGCCUCCGGCCCCCUGGACCCCAUGCCAGGGCUUUAAUGUAAAUGAUUUACACAUGUAUUGCAUGGCCCAUACCUCCUACACUUAAUACAGGUAUUCUAACUUUUCGAAAAGCAAGCAACAAUAUCAACAGACAAGCGUAUGGCGUUCUCUCUGCGUCACUCUUUUAACUCCUGUGCUAUAUAUUUAUUAAGUUCAGAAUAUAAACAUUGCGAAAUCCAUGUCUCAUAAUGUUCAUUGUAUUUCAUCACAUAAAGUAUUUCAAAUGAAAGCCACUAACAAUGCAGUUGAAGCCUCUUAUGAACUUUCAUAUUUCAUAUCUUUGUUGAAGUCUCCAUGCCAAAUGAAUCUCUUUUGUUGAGCAUUCUUGCAAGGCGCUGUGUGGCACUUUCAAACAUCUUCCUCUGCAUGGUCUAAGAAGCAUAUAAACAAAUUGACUGACAUAUUAGCGGAACAAAGAAACUGUUAAUAAUAUUAAAUCUAUUUAAAAAAUGGUCUAAAAACAUUUGAUGAUGUCAUGUUGUUACCAAAUAUCAUUGCUAGUUUAUACAGAAGGAUAUUCUUACUAAACUUGGGCCUAUAUUCAGAGUAAAUUAUCAAUUCAACAGUUGGUGUUUUUCAGGUUUUACCGAAACAGUAUGAUUGGCCUGUAUAUUUGCUUUAUUUCGCUAGUAAGUUUUUUUCACUGUUUUCUUGUAAUACUAAUUCAACUGUAUUAUGCAACUGUUGGGACCACUGUCAAUAUUAAUAAAAUUAUUUGU